rnacentral:rRNA from 1 species
AUUGAACGCUGGCGGCAGGCCUAACACAUGCAAGUCGAACGAGUGGCGGACGGGUGAGUAAUGUCUGGGAAACUGCCCGAUGGAGGGGGAUAACUACUGGAAACGGUAGCUAAUACCGCAUACCAUCGGAUGUGCCCAGAUGGGAUUAGCUAGUAGGUGGGGUAAGGGCUCACCUAGGCGACGAUCCCUAGCUGGUCUGAGAGGAUGACAGGCCACACUGGAACUAGACAACGGUCCAGACCCCUACGGGAGGAAGCAGGGGGGAAUAUUGGACAAUGGGCGAAAGCCUGUACCAGCCAUGCGGGGUGUGUGAAGAAGGUCUUCGGAUUGUAAAGCACUUUAAGUGGGGAGACGUUACCAACAGAAUAAGCACCGGCUAACUCCGUGCCAGCAGCGCCGGUAAUC